UAGAGGCCUAGUACUCAUUGCUCUGUCCAACAGUAGAGAUCUCUGCGUUAGCAUGUCCUAACUGUGAAUUGCUGUUGCUUGUGUGAAGCUGUUCAAAAGGUAGAGAGUGAGCGCACAUCUCUUCGCUGUGAGGAGCUGCAACAUAAAGAAUCCCACCAAGAGGGAGAACCUUGUAUCUUUUUGAUAUUGGGUGAAAGGCACACUUGUGAAUAAAUUGUUCCAUGGCAAUUGUGGCAACUGACAACGUUCUUCUUCAGCGCAAACAACUGAUAAAAAAAGUUGUAAUGAAUAUAUCAAACCUGCAAGUCUUGAAGCAGAAGCUAUACAUCAUGAACAAAAAUGAAAGAGGGCGAAAUGGCUAUGAUU